UACGGAGGGGGCUAGCGUUAUUCGGAAUUACUGGGCGUAAAGCGCACGUAGGCGGACCAGAAAGUCAGAGGUGAAAUCCCAGGGCUCAACCUUGGAACUGCCUUUGAAACUCCUGGUCUUGAGUUCGAGAGAGGUGAGUGGAAUUCCGAGUGUAGAGGUGAAAUUCGUAGAAAUUCGGAGGAACACCAGUGGCGAAGGCGGCUCACUGGCUCGAUACUGACGCUGAGGUGCGAAAGCGUGGGGAGCAAACAGG
rnacentral:rRNA from 1 species